rnacentral:rRNA from 1 species
UAGAGGAAGUAAAAGUCGUAACAAGGUCUCCGUUGGUGAACCAGCGGAGGGAUCAUUACUGAGUUUACGCUCUACAACCCUUUGUGAACAUACCUAUAACUGUUGCUUCGGCGGGUAGGGUCUCCGUGACCCUCCCGGCCUCCCGCCCCCGGGCGGGUCGGCGCCCGCCGGAGGAUAACCAAACUCUGAUUUAACGACGUUUCUUCUGAGUGGUACAAGCAAAUAAUCAAAACUUUUAACAACGGAUCUCUUGGUUCUGGCAUCGAUGAAGAACGCAGCGAAAUGCGAUAAGUAAUGUGAAUUGCAGAAUUCAGUGAAUCAUCGAAUCUUUGAACGCACAUUGCGCCCGCCAGCAUUCUGGCGGGCAUGCCUGUUCGAGCGUCAUUUCAACCCUCAAGCUCUGCUUGGUGUUGGGGCCCUACGGCUGACGUAGGCCCUCAAAGGUAGUGGCGGACCCUCCCGGAGCCUCCUUUGCGUAGUAACUUUACGUCUCGCACUGGGAUCCGGAGGGACUCUUGCCGUAAAACCCCCAAUUUUCCAAAGGUUGACCUCGGAUCAGGUAGGAAUACCCGCUGAACUUAAGCAUAUCAAUA